rnacentral:rRNA from 1 species
CCCUACGGGGCGCAGCAGUGGGGGAUAUUGCACAAUGGGGGGAACCCUGAUGCAGCGACGCCGCGUGGGUGAAGAAGCGCCUCGGCGCGUAAAGCCCUGUCAGCAGGGAAGAAAAUGACGGUACCUGAAGAAGAAGCCCCGGCUAACUACGUGCCAGCAGCCGCGGUAAUACGUAGGGGGCAAGCGUUAUCCGGAUUUACUGGGUGUAAAGGGGGCGCAGACGGCGAUGCAAGCCAGGAGUGAAAACUACGGGCUUAACUUGUAGACUGCAGUUGAAACUGGUUUUCUUGAGUGAAGUA